rnacentral:rRNA from 1 species
AGAAUGAACGUUGGCGGCGUGGAUUAGGCAUGCAAGUCGAACGAAUCCCAUUUGGGUAACUGGAUGGGGGAAGUGGCGAAAGGGGCAGUAAGGCAUAGGUAACCUACCCUGGAGUUGGGCAUAGCCAUUCUAACGAAUGGGUAAUUCCCGAUGGCCCAGCGAGGAGACAUCUCUUUGCUGGUAAAGAGUUUCGCUCCGGGAGGGGCCUAUGUGCUAUUAGCUAGUUGGCGGGGUAACGGCCCACCAAGGCUAAGAUGGCUAGCGGGUGUGAGAGCACGACCCGCGCCACUGGCACUGAGACACUGGCCAGACACCUACGGGUGGCUGCAGUCGAGGAUCUUCGUCAAUGGGCGAAAGCCUGAACGAGCGACGCCGCGUGCGCGAUGAAGGCCUUCGGGUUGUAAAGCGCGAAAGUGGGACGAAAGCUGAAAGGUUUGACUGAUCCACAGUAAGCUCGGGCUAAGUUCGCGCCAGCAGCCGCGGU